GUUGUCGUGAACGAAACAUAAAUUCCGUAUUCUUGCCACUAGUUUCAUACUAGCCUACGUCGCUGAUAUCACCAAGAGAACGCAGUGUCAUGGUCACUCUAUUAUUCCCAUUCUACCAGCUAUAAUAACCUAAUGGAAAAAGUAGAGAGGUUACGAGGUAAUCUGAGAGUGAAAAUAUCUUCAGAUUGUGUUUCCCAGCUGAUGAGGACUGGCUGAGGAUGAUGAAGAUGACGCAUAUACAGGGGACACCCCAGCAGUGUCAGAGGCUGCAGGGACCUCUGUGAUUGUUGACCCUACCUCAUCCCUGAUCUCCCCAGCUCUGCAGGGGCUCACCAUGGCCACUCGGAGGACACCCAUGGUCCAAACCAGCUUGGUCAAAGACUUUAACCACUUCAUUACCUGCUACCUGUGCAGAGGUUACCUGAUCAAACCCACCACGGUCACUGAGUGCCUGCACACAUUUUGUAAGAGCUGCAUCAUCCAGCACUUUGAAGACAGUAAUGACUGUCCCAAAUGUGGCAUUCAAGUCCACGAAACGAACCCUCUAGAGAUGCUAAGGUUGGACAAUACUCUUGAGGAAAUCAUUUUCAAGCUUGUGCCUGGAUUACGAGAAAAAGAGGGACAGCAGGAGAUUGAUUUCUGGAGGAAGAAUAAGUCAAAAGAAAAUUCACAAGGAGACGGCCUUGGGUCAAAGAAGCUUGGGCUCAGUGAUGAGGAUGAUGAUGAAGAUGACCAGGAUUACCACAGGAGCGACCCCCAGAUAGCCAUCUGCCUCGACUGUCUCCACAACAAUGGCUAUGCUGCAGACAACACAGUGAAGUGUUUAAUGAAGAAGUUCAUUCAUUGCUCUAGUCGAGUCACGGUGGGAACCAUCAAGAAGUUUCUCAGUCUAAAGUUAAAGCUUUCUAGCUCUUGUGAGACAUGCACACAGAACAAGAAUAAGCACAGUGACCACAGAGAAGAUGCUGAGGAGACAGAUGGACAGCACAACAAAAUGGCUAGAGCAGAGGCCCUGUUAUAGUGCUGGAUGUGCUGUGUAAUGGGGAGAUCAUGGGGAAGGACCACACUCUGGAGUUUAUCUACAUGACCCGCUGGAGGCUGCACAGUGACCACAGAUAUCCCAUGGUCCUGGAGUACAGGCCACGAAUAGACUUUGGCUGAACGAAGCCUUCAAAGACUAACAAAGCAAGGACUGGAUGUACAUGCAGCCAAGGCCAGGAACUCUGUCCUUCCAAACCUUUCUGAACUUCUCUACAUUUGACCAUUUGUUUUUUCUUUCUCAUUCUGUUUCAUUUAGUUGUGACCUUCGUUGUGGGAACAUUCUGUGUCCUUCGUUGUGGGAACAUUCUGUGUCCUUCGUUGUGGGAACAUUCUGUGUCCUUCGUUGUGGGAACAUUCUGUGUCCUUCGUUGUGGGAACAUUCUGUGUCCUUCGUUGUGGGAACAUUCUGUGUCCUUCGUUGUGGGAACAUUCUGUGUCCUUCGUUGUGGGAACAUUCUGUGUCCUUCGUUGUGGGAACAUUCUGUGUCCUUCGUUGUGGGAACAUUCUGUGUCCUUCGUUGUGGGAACAUUCUGUGUCCUUCGUUGUGGGAACAUUCUGUGUCCUUCGUUGUGGGAACAUUCUGUGCUUGUGGCCAAAGUGAUCUUCAAGACAACUAAAGACAAGCUUAGCUGAAACAUGGGUAUAUGAAUAUAUCAGUUGUAUUUACUCCCAACUCCAAGGGCUUCCACCCAAUGCCUGACUAAAACAUGUUUUAUGUCUUUUAUAAAUGCACAUAACAUAUCCACAGAUUUGCCCACCAUCAAUCAAUUAGGGAAAUUUGCCUGUGACAGGGCACCUUAAUAAUGUUGUCAACAAGUUUCAAAGAGUCUAAACCGAAGCCCAUUCGUCUUCAUUCUGUUCCAUGCUCAGUUAAUAACCAGUCUGACAAGCUGCUGAAAUCUACAAACGCUCUCUGGCAGAGGCUGGGCAACCUGCAGGAUUGGGAGAGAAACAUUAAGCCUCUCUCUCUCUCUCUCUGUCACACAUACUCAACCCAUACUGCGGUGUGAUUACCCUGGCUCCUGCCAAUCUCAGACUUGUGCUAAUAGCUUUUUUGGCACCGUUCUGAGUGAGGAGGUAUUACAUUUCAGUUUUUCAGAUUGAUCAUAGUAUGUUUAGACUAGAGAUCUACUAUCUUACAUGUUUUUAAAGGCAAACUAAUGGUGUGUACAUUUCAUAUUGUUACUAGACCUUUGAUCUAAAUGUGUUUUAUGAAAUAGAUGACAUUACAACAUGAGAGUAAGAUGUAUGUAUUAUGGAUCUUGGAUAUAUUUGAUCAAAGAACAGCUUUGUGCACUGUAAGAGCUGGUUGGCCAUAAAGCUUAUUGUAUUAACGUUGAGGUGUACUGAAGUGGUCUCUUUCAGAGUAAUUCAGUAUAGAGAGUAUACGGUAUCUGUUUCCUUACCUAGUCAUCUCAUGUUUAGCCUUUUCAUCUAUGUUGAUAUGAUUUAUAUGUGAAGAACAUUGAGGUGAAGACGAGCUGUCCAUCUGCUGAAAAAUAGGAUGCAUUUUUGGAAACAUGUACAUAUUCUUAUGGUUAAUGUUUUAUGCUGCUUAGAAUAUAUUUUUGAAAUGUACUGCCUCUGAAUCAUUCUUGAGAGAGAGCUGUGAAGAAAAAUAGUUCAUAUCUGUACUUGAUUUAUAAUUAUUAUUCAUGAAUAAAUUCAAUGUUUUGUAUUCUA